rnacentral:rRNA from 1 species
ACUCCUACGGGAGGCAGCAGUGGGGAAUAUUGCACAAUGGGCGAAAGCCUGAUGCAGCCAUGCCGCGUGUAUGAAGAAGGCCUUCGGGUUGUAAAGUACUUUCAGUCGUGAGGAAGGGUGUGUAGUUAAUAGCUGCAUAUCUUGACGUUAGCGACAGAAGAAGCACCGGCUAACUCCGUGCCAG